GCAAAAACGAUGAGUAGAACGAGUAGAGGGCGAAACUUUUGAAGAGAGCAGGUGGUUGGUGCGAAUCCUGUAAAGCCAGCCUUUGAAAAUCAUCUACGAGUUGCCGGCUGAAAGGUAUGAGAAGUUUCCAAGUAAGCUGGGCCGGCGGUGAGCCGUUAUUUUAAUUAAGUGAUUAGGAAUAUAUAUUUUGAUAUAUAUUCUAUAAUAAAUAUGGGUGGUACCGCGUGAGGAUUCUCUCGUCCUUUUG
rnacentral:ncRNA from 1 species